ACGGAAGGUAGCAGUAGGGAAUCUUCGGCAAUGGGGGCAACCCUGACCGAGCAACGCCGCGUGAGUGAAGAAGGUUUUCGGAUCGUAAAGCUCUGUUGUAAGAGAAGAACGUGUGUGAGAGUGGAAAGUUCACACAGUGACGGUAACUUACCAGAAAGGGACGGCUAACUACGUGCCAGCAGCCGCGGUAAUACGUAGGUCCCGAGCGUUGUCCGGAUUUAUUGGGCGUAAAGCGAGCGCAGGCGGUUUAAUAAGUCUGAAGUUAAAGGCAGUGGCUUAACCAUUGUUCGCUUUGGAAACUGUUAGACUUGAGUGCAGAAGGGGAGAGUGGAAUUCCAUGUGUAGCGGUGAAAUGCGUAGAUAUAUGGAGGAACACCGGUGGCGAAAGUGGCUCUCUGGUCUGUAACUGACGCUGAGGCUCGAAAGCGUGGGGAGCAGACAGGAUUAGAUACCCUGGUA
rnacentral:rRNA from 1 species